UACGUAGGGUGCGAGCGUUAAUCGGAAUUACUGGGCGUAAAGCGUGCGCAGGCGGUUAUGUAAGACAGAUGUGAAAUCCCCGGGCUUAACCUGGGAACUGCGUUUGUGACUGCAUAACUAGAGUACGGCAGAGGGGGGUGGAAUUCCUGGUGUAGCAGUGAAAUGCGUAGAUAUCAGGAGGAACAUCGAUGGCGAAGGCAGCCCCCUGGGCCUGUACUGACGCUCAUGCACGAAAGCUAGGGGAGCAAACAGG
rnacentral:rRNA from 1 species